GACGAACGCUGGCGGCGUGCUUAACACAUGCAAGUCGAACGGAAAGGCCCUGCUUUUGUGGGGUGCUCGAGUGGCGAACGGGUGAGUAACACGUGAGUAACCUGCCCUUGACUUUGGGAUAACUUCAGGAGACUGGGGCUAAUACCGGAUAGGAGCUCCUGCUGCAUGGGGGGGGUUGGAAAGUUUCGGCGGUUGGGGAUGGACUCGCGGCUUAUCAGCUUGUUGGUGGGGUAGUGGCUUACCAAGGCUUUGACGGGUAGCCGGCCUGAGAGGGUGGCCGGCCACAUUGGGCCUGCGAUACGGCCCAGACUCCUACGGGAGGCAGCAGUGGGGAAUAUUGCACAAUGGGCGGAAGCCUGAUGCAGCAACGCCGCGUGCGGGAUGACGGCCUUCGGGUUGUAAACCGCUUUCGCCUGUGACGAAGCGUGAGUGACGGUAAUGGGUAAAGAAGCACCGGCUAACUACGUG
rnacentral:rRNA from 1 species